rnacentral:ncRNA from 1 species
UGAAAUACAUUGAAAGAGGAAAGUAACAUAUAUGGAAUAUACAGAGAAGGAAUCUAAUAUGCUGAGAGGAUUCUUAUAGGAAGUUUAUGUGAAGUGCCCUCUGGAGUAGUGCACCGAAUUGAGUAGGCUGCAUCGGUAUCACCCGUUAUAGUGAUAGAGCAUUGAGUUGUGCUUGAAAUUUAGUUCAACACCGUAUUUUGGUAGAGUGGAACAGCGAAGUUAUAACUUCGUCUCUAUA